rnacentral:lncRNA from 1 species
GUAUAAUGAUAAAUACUAAUAGAAGUGGUUCAAGAUUUAACAUUGAACAAAUAUCUAAAUGAAUCUAUUAAAGUCAAAGGAUGAUAGAUGAACAACAUUAUUGAGAUGAACUACCAUUUCUAGAGUUCACAAGACUCACACACUUUGAUUCCACACAAGACAAAAACUUAGGUUAAAAAUAGAGAAAAGAAAAAAAAAAGGAAUAUUGACACUCAAAGUACCCUAAAAAAGAAUAACUUUUGUUUUGUCCAUCACUAAACAAUUUUACAGUACAAAGAAACCAAUAACUGAAUGAAUGACGCCCCCUGACAACUAUUCACG